rnacentral:rRNA from 1 species
AGUGAACGCUGGCGGUAGGCCUAACACAUGCAAGUCGAACGGCAGCACAGUAAGAGCUUGCUCUUACGGGUGGCGAGUGGCGGACGGGUGAGGAAUACAUCGGAAUCUACUUUUUCGUGGGGGAUAACGUAGGGAAACUUACGCUAAUACCGCAUACGACCUACGGGUGAAAGCAGGGGAUCUUCGGACCUUGCGCGAUUGAAUGAGCCGAUGUCGGAGUAGCUAGUUGGCGGGGUAAAGGCCCACCAAGGCGACGAUCCGUAGCUGGUCUGAGAGGAUGAUCAGCCACACGAGAACUGAGACACGGUCCAGACUCCUACGGGAGGCAGCAGUGGGGAAUAUUGGGCAAUGGGCGCAAGCCUGAUCCAGCCAUACCGCGUGGGUGAAGAAGGCCUUCGGGUUGUAAAGCCCUUUUGUUGGGAAAGAAAAGCAGCAGGUUAAUACCCCGCUGUUCUGACGGUACCCAAAGAAUAAGCACCGGCUAACUUCGUG